AAAGAAGGGACCGCCGACCGCCGGAUACCUGACGCUGGCGGGCGGCGGCGGCGGCGGCGGCGAAGACGUCCGUUGCGGCUGCGACGAAUCCAAGUAACCGGGGCCCUUGCCGAACUGGCAGGCGAGAUAGGUCCCCCGAUUCAAGCGGAGAUGGUUCACUGAUUUCCCUUCCCCGCCGCCAAUUCGAUCGGGCUCGCGGCUCGCCGUCUCUGCUCUCCCCAACCGGCACCAAGCCAGCCAAUGGCGCUCGAGGAGGCACAGCGGCCACUGUCCGCCGGCGUGGCCUGGCGCCUAACCGGAAGCUGGCUAGGCUCCGAACUGGUUCGAGGCUUCAAGCCGAUCCGCAUCUAUCCAGGUACGCACGGACGCCCCGACGAUGGGUUCGUUGCAAAAUUUCUCCGGGAACCAGUCAAAAUCAAAUGAUUUCCUACAAACAUUCGCCAUGCUCGCUGCUCGCCAUUGUUAUUUUACAGUGUCCUUCUAGAAAUACAUCACAACAACAUACGCCACUCGAGGCUAAACACACCAUUAUUUGCUAAUGGCUCUCGGGGUGGUUGGGCCGGCUGACACGCUCUGGAGGUAACGUUCGACGACGUCGAGUCCGCAGAGCUCCUUGACGACGGGCAUCGUCGCCGGCACGUCCAUCUGGAACGUGACGGCGGAGUUCGCGGGCCCGGUGCAGAUAGAGAACUCCUUCCUGGCGGCCCUGAUGGCCUCCCUCAUCGCACAGUGCACCGACGACGCGAGAAGAAGCGGUGGCUCGCCCGACGCUGCAAAGAUCCAAGCCGGAGUGUCAGGGUCGCAAGCAGCCACUGUUGCCAUGUUAUGCUGGUAUGGUGAUCUCAAGUUGCAGUAUUUUUUGUACGUAAGUUCUCAGGAGGUUCAGGAAAGUCUGCAAGAACCAAGGAUGCCCGAGGAGAUGAGACAUUCCAAGAGUAGCAGAGGCGGACGCAGUACACAGGCACCACAGGCCACGGCCUGGGCUGCCUCGCGCGUCUGUAUGGAGCAUGUAUUUGACCCUAGUUCAAAAAAGGAUGCAAAGCCCAGGCUACCGCAGGCCUGCACCGCAGUACUGGCUCACAGCCUAGGCUGCCAUAAAAUCCUGGGUCCGCCACUGAAGAGUAGGUUUACCUUUGGAUGAAAGGACACGCUUCCUAUCGCCAGCGCUGUUGAUUAACUCGACGUUGAACUGCUUCGGGAUGGUGUCGACCGUUGGAAUCUUGUACGUCCAUGUGCCGUCAUGGAUGACCAUGCCGUCGGUGUUCGUUUUGUACUCCUCGUUCGUGAAGAAGCCCACUCCUUGGAUGAAUGCGCCUUCCACCUGAGUGAAUCAAUAGCAGUGUUCAGAGCAGCAUAUUUCUGUUGGCAAACGGUCUAACAGCAUCAAGUUUUGUUUGAGGCUAACCUGGCCAAGGUCUACUGCAGGGUUCAGGCUCUGCCCGCAGUCAUGAAUGAGGUCGCUCCGUAGGAUCGUGGUUGCUCCUGUCAGUACAUCAACUUCCACCUGUGAUGACAUUUCCAAUCAUGUCUCAGCUUCGUGAAGAACUGAAACUGCAGCCUCCAACAAUUUGGCUUGUUAAUUGCAUUUACAGUGUUACUAUAGCAAUUUGGAUCAGGGCUACCUCACUAAUGCCAGCUCCAUAGUUUAAGUAACUCCUGGAAGUUGGGUUCCAGUAUGCAUGCGCUGAUAAGUUCACACUCGCCAUACUUGCCUGCAAAUGACGAACAAAUGGCACGGACAAUUGGAAUAGUAAAAUGAUGGGUAUCUCACACUUAUUUGCUACCCAUACUGAUCGCAGUACAUUGAUGAUGGAAAUGAGGGAGGCAAAAGAUUUGCAUGUGAUUCUUGGUAUCUGUUUCAAUCAGGUUAACUGGUAUAUGUGACAACAGAUAAAGUCAUAACAUAAGGGUAUUUUCACCUGAGCAAUCAAGGCACCCCAUUCCAUUGUGGCACCCUUAGCCUCCAAACUCUCCUUUACAGGCUUGAGCCUUUCAACAAGUCGAAGGCACGAAUGCCGAACCGCUUCGCAACUAUUUUCAGAAGUGGUGCUCCCACCGGUGAACCCUCCCUGGAUCAUGCUCAACGAGUCGACCUGGAUAAUCCGCACCUUGUCAAGGAGGCAUUCCCCGCCAUCAGCACACAGUUGUCCCAGCCCAAAUGCUGUCAUCUGCUUCACUUUCGUCCACAAGCCCUGGCCUAUCUCAACCCCUCCAAUCUCAACAGCAAUUGAACCGUCAUUCAUGAUAGACACCUUGCCUGGAGCAGCCCGAAGACUCACCUCAUAUGUGAUGGGUACACAAGAAAUGCCACGUUUCUUCCACUUGUUGCUGCUAUUGAAGUGCUCAACCAUUGUAGCUCUGUGCUGGUAGUCUGGAGACAAGGCCAGCUUAUCAAACAUGGUGGCCAGCGUGUAUGUGGGUGCUUCACCCGCACUCUCUCCGUAGAACGCUGCAAGACUCUUGAAGUCAUGAAGGUUCUUCCUCCUAAUGGUGUUGGUAUCGACUGAGAGCACCGAUGCAACAUGCUCAACGAUGGCUUCUGCAAUAAAUGAUCCCUGCACCUCUCCAGGAGCCCGCAUUGUUGACUUUGGUGAGACAUUCGUCUUGCAGAGCUUGAUGUCAAAUGCAAGAGCCCCCCAAUUGUACUUUUUGAAACUACCAAUGAUAGUAUUUGGCAAUAUUGCACUCAGAUCCGGUGUUAUUCCAGCAUUGAGACCAAGGUCCAAGUGCACGGCUGUGAUCUUGCCAUCUGAUUUGAACCCAACAGAAUACUUUGUCUUCAUAGGGUGUCGCCCACCCGCUAUUAUCAUGUCCGUCUUGCGAUCAAGGUACAUCUUAACAGGACGCUGUAGCUUGAAUGCGGCAACGGCGCAUGCACAUGCAAUCUGACAAGGAGGAGAUUCUUGGCAUCUCACAUCAUCCACUUUGGAUGGCAAUACAAAUAGACGAUGUUUAGCAAAGAAAAGCUCUAGUUAGUUAUGACUUACGUGUAUUGCUUUCAUUGCCUUUCCACCAAAGCCUCCGCCGACUCUUCUUGUGAUCACACGGACGUUGUGCAACGGAAUGCCAAGGCACCUUGCAACUACAUCUUGUGUGAUCUCAACAAAUUGCGUCGAGGAAUAGAUGGUUAUGCAGUUGUCUUCAUCAGGAAUAGCCAGUGCCACCUGUGUCUCCAUGUAAAAAUAGUAUUGGGAUUCAAGCUUUACCUGCGGAAACAAAAAGUACUUGGUGUAAGUUUCGCCCUUGCUGGACACUUUUUAGGUCUCGGAGUAUGCUCCCCCUUUUGGCCUUUGGAACAAAAGGAAGCACCAUGUAGUAUGUACCUCUGCUGACAAAGUGUGAUCAGCCUUAGAAACCCCUUGGUUGUAAUCACCAACUGGCUUAGGAGAUAAAAAUGUGGGAAUCUGGAAGUAGCUGCUCUGUUGGAUGGCAUCUUGUAUAGUCAGAAUUGGUGGCUGCAAAUUUUCUGUGCUAUACUCAACAACAGCUUGCUUUGCAGCCAUAUAAGCAUACCUUUGUGUUUCAGAAAUCUGUGUGAUCGAAAACCAACAUGGCGUGGUAAGCUUGAUAGAAUUUUCAAGAUUCUGGGUAUACACUGACUUAUUACUGGCUCAUUUAAUCUUAUAAAGGUCAGUUUAAGCAACCUUACCACGAUGCCAAUAUUUUGACCAGCAAAUUCAACAACUUGAUCUGCAAAAAGCACUUCUUCUCCUAACAUCGGGAAGCUGGAUCCUAUAUUUUGUCCGCCUCUGGGAAUAUCCUUUGCAGUAAUGACUGUGAUGACCUUCUGUGAAGCCAAAGAUGAUUUGAAGUUGAUGCCCUUCACAUGAGCAUGAGGGCGUGUGCUGUAGAUAAAUGCUCCAUACAAGCAACCCUUGGGAACAGGGAUAUCAUCAACGUACACAGCCUCCCCUGUGUAAGAAACAUAAAUAUAGCUCAGUGCAUACAGUAACCAAUAAUAUGAGGAAAAAUAUGCAUAUUUGAAUUUUCAGAUGGUUCAGCACUGACAAAACUAUUGUACUCCAUCCGUUCCAAAUUAUAAGGCGUUUUAGAUUCAUAGAUAUAUAUAAGCUAUUAUUUCUAGAUACGUAGUAAAGACUACGUAUCUAGAAAUACUAAAACGUCUAUAAUUUGGAACAGAGGAAGUACUAAAAAUGAACAGUAGCAUCACUAUACAGUAUUUUGCAGAAUAUGCUGAAGAAAGGUUAUAAGCUGAUGCUGUCAAAAUAAUUGUUUUGGCAAGGCAGUACAUUGGAGGGGAAAUACCAGAAGCUUGGAG
rnacentral:lncRNA from 1 species